UGGCUGUUGCUUUUUUGUGUAAGAUUGAUUAAAUUACUCUGAACAAGCUCCAAGUACGUGUCCUUCUCUAAGGCCAAUUGUGAAUAUGACCAUAAUACACUCUAAAACAUAUUUCAGAAAAUAAAUAAUCUCUAAAACUGGAAGAACAUCACUGCACUCUUCCAAGAAUAAGCAAAUGAACUUGGUUACUUGUCUCAACAUACGUCACUUCUUUUUUUCAUGCCUUCUGCUUCCUCUAGUUUUAAAAAUAUGGGGUUAUUUGCUAGAUUUCCUCUGUACACUACAAUAGGAGAUAAUUUCUGACUAGGUCUUAAAGAAAGAACUAGCUAAGAAAUAAGUGUAUAAUAUGAGAGACAAUUUUAUUUUUGUCUAAUAAGAAUUGCCAGUUGUUCUACUGAUUUCAUCCUUUAUCUCCCCUCUGAAAUGUAGUUAUUGCUUCAUACAUCAGUAACUCAAGUGAAAUCAGGGCCACGUUAUAGCAGGUUCUGUACAACAUAUGGGAAUGAAUGAUCUUAAUUGAAAAAAGGUUUGAAAAUUAAUGCCAAAUAUGUGAAGACAGAAUUUAUCCACAGCUGCUGAGUGGCCCUGGUCUGGAGACAGGAGAGGAAUCCAGGUCCUUGAAGACCCAAGCCCUAUCCAGUGAGCUCUGCUCCCAAAACACCGGCUGGUCUGAGCUUUUAUCAAAUCUAAGUGUUCUUUAACUCCUGCUGACAAGAGCAAUCUGAGUCCUCAGAGGUCUUGAGUAAAGAGGAAACCUGCAGGGACCAGGUUAAGCUGAAAGAGACAGGAGUAGGAAUGGCAAGCAGGAUGCACCAGGGUCAAGAAGGUGACUUUGGAAACAAUUCAAAAUGAGUGAAUACUCACUGGAGCAAAACCAGCUCUUUUUGCUCCAGAUGAGAAAAGAUCUAAAUAAAUACUACCCAGAGACCUCUUACUUUCUUUGAAGACUGCAGUGAUCUUUUUAACAGUGCUGUGUAAAAAUUACAUCUGUGAAAUACAAUGAAAUUUGUUGAGACUUCCAACGCUGAAGAUUAAGUAAAUAUGAUUUUACUCUCUGUACUAAAUCUGCUGAUGAAGAAGCUAAAUUCUGAUCAGCAGCAGUUACAGUAACUAGCUUGCCUGUUUCUCUCAUGCUGGGGAUAAUUCUGCCUUGGAGAUGCCAUUUGUUGAUACUUUUGCCAUGACAGAUGUUUAAGCUGAUACUUCCUUAGAUGACAAGACUGAAAAUAGACUUAACUUCACUUGAUGGAAACCCCCCAGCAUCAAUGGAACCAGUGCAGACCCCAAGCCCUUUAUCUUGCCUCUCAGACAGUACCUUGGCAGCCCUGUAUAUGAUAAUGCACCCUCUUCGUUGAAUUCUGGGAGGUGAAGAUUAAGCUGACAGAUGGUAUCAGCAGAAGAAUGAUUAUGAGUUUUAAAAACCUUGAUAUUUUGGCUUAGUACACCAUUUUUCAUGCAAAUACUGACAUGGAUAUUAGCAUCCAAUUAAGAAAGUAUAAAACUAUGCCAUUCUGUUACAGUUUACAUUACAAUCAUUUAAUGUUUCAUUAAAAAUACUAAGAAGGGCUGCUCUGAAAGGGAUAAAAAUCGAUGAUCUAUAUAUCACUUCUGCUGCUUUGCUCUUCUGGCGCAAUGUGGCAGUGAAAAUGGGCUAUAAAUGUCCUUAAAUUAUUCUGUAAAUCUGAGUUGCUUUCUCCAUUUUUUGUGUUCUAUCUUUAUCAAAGGAUGGAUUCAUAUCAGCACACACUCCCUGGUGUUAAGGGAGUGUAAGGUAAAGUGUCAACUCUUCUGUGUCUUUAUAGGGUAUUUCCAAUUUAUUUCAAUAGGUUAGGUGAUGUCUAAGCAUUCACCCUUUGUUAUUUGGACAAUGACUGUCAGUGCAGUUUAAACACCAAAACCAGCUGAUUGCCCACAGACAAAUGUUUUUAAAUGUCCUUUGUUUAAUGUUUAGUUUUUGUUUUUGUGAGAAAACCUAUUUUCUUGGCACUUCUGCUGAAUAACACUCUCUGUUAUUAGAACUAAUUCUCUGACUUGUUUAACAUCACCACAUUCACAUCACUUUUUAAAAAUAAGGAAUAAAUGGAAGGAAAUUUCUCAGUCUCACACUGCGGUGAGGUAAUAUAUGAAAUAACCUAUCUUUAUUAUUAAAACCUCAAAAUAAUUCAUUUCAUAGGAAUACUUUUCUCUGCAAACACAAUUACCAGUUAGUGGUAAUAACAGAUUGUUAUCUGCAAAAAUAUUACUAGUUAGCUUAAAAUUAAAAUAAAAUUUGGAAUGUCUUAAAAAGUUUGCUAAUGAAAUGCUUUGAACGUUUUGAAACAUGUUCCAAAGUGGCAUUGGGUCAAGAAAAUUCAAUAUACUAUGCUUAUUUUCAUAAAUGUCAGGGAUUGAAUGUGCUAGAUUUUGCUAUUUUAACCAAGAAAGAUGUAAUUCAAAAGGUUUUGUCCAAGUAUAUGCACAUCAGUUUACUUCUUUCUCACAGACAGUGAACAGGUAUAAAUCUCCGUCUCAUCAUAUCUUUUAUCAGUGAACAAAAUUUGACAACAAAAAUAAUUUAAAUCUCAUUAAAUUCUG